CGGGGCGCGAGGGACCCUGCGCACUGGGCCUUCGGGGCGGCACUGGCACAGCGACCCGCCUGGGGCUGCCCACCACCCUCACAUCCCUAUGUCCGCCACCCCUGCACUCCAGGGACACCACGAACAGACGGUGCGAGCUCCCGGGCUCCGCGCUCUGCAGCGCCCCUGUGCAUGGGGCGGCCUCAGGAGGCCUGGGCUCCCGCAGCAGCGCCGGCCUCGGGCUGAGGUCCCCGAGCCAGGGCUCCACUUCCCGCUCAGCGGACCGCAGGAGUCAACCGAGGCACAGAGAGAGCCAGCUGCUGAGUCGGAUGCUGGCUACGCAGGUGGCAGGGUGGGCCUGCUGGGGGGAAGAUGACCAGGCUGUGUCCAAGCUGCAGCCCAAAUGCCCCCAGAAGAGGACAUCAUGAGUCAGCCUCCCACCUAGAGGGAGACAAUGGCACCAGAAGGACCAGUGGCUACCGGGCUUCGUGCAGUGUAGGGCACCCCUGAUAUGCCCCGUCCUUGCUCUUGCAGCCACCAACUUUGCCAGCAGCACUAACUGCUGCCUCCCUGAGGGCUCAGUCUACCCUGCAGCCUGUCUGGGCCACCUGCAUUCACCUCCGAGACCCAACACUUCAUACCCAUGGUCUCGGUGCCACAUCCAGGCACCACCCCAUGCUCCCCUCACCCCACACCCAAGUGUAGCGCUUCCCAAACCCCUGCCUAGAAGGCCACUAGCCCUGCCCGAGGUUUGCUCUCACGUAGGCCCCUGGCCCAAACCCCAGGUUGCAGGGUGAGCUCUCUCCUGGGCCCGCCCUCUGCCCUCUACUCUCCUGAUCCCUGUUUGGCCUCCUCGUAGAACCCCCACUGCCCCAUUCCCUACUUGAGCACUCCUAGAAGUAGGUCCAGCCUGGCCUUGGUGUCCAGGACUGCUGCCAGGACAAAGGACAGAGCAAUCGACGCAAGGACCUGCACCAGGACAACCGAGACAGCACGGCUGCCAAGAACCUUUUGUCAGAGAUGCUUGGGGAGUGUUUCUCUCAUUCCAACCAGGUCAGUCCUGCCUGAAUAGAGUGUGUGAUGCAGUGGGUGACAGGUGUGCAAACAGACAGCCCCUCCUUCUCCAGGCCGGUUCUGGGACAGGCACUGGGGUGAGUCUGGCCUGCAAUCAGGAAGGCUUCCUGGAAGAGGAGGCCUUGAGCUGAAUUUUGAAGGAUAUGAAAGGAAAAGUUUGCCAGGGGAUGCGAGACUGCCAAGAAGUGGGGGGGCACAUGGGC
rnacentral:lncRNA from 1 species